rnacentral:rRNA from 1 species
UUAGAGUUUGAUCCUGGCUCAGAUUGAACGCUGGCGGCAGGCCUAACACAUGCAAGUCGAACGGUAACAUUUCUAGCUUGCUAGAAGAUGACGAGUGGCGGACGGGUGAGUAAUGCUUGGGAACUUGCCUUUGCGAGGGGGAUAACAGUUGGAAACGACUGCUAAUACCGCAUAAUGUCUUCGGACCAAACGGGGCUUAGGCUCCGGCGCAAAGAGAGGCCCAAGUGAGAUUAGCUAGUUGGUAAGGUAAUGGCUUACCAAGGCGACGAUCUCUAGCUGUUCUGAGAGGAAGAUCAGCCACACUGGGACUGAGACACGGCCCAGACUCCUACGGGAGGCAGCAGUGGGGAAUAUUGCACAAUGGGGGAAACCCUGAUGCAGCCAUGCCGCGUGUGUGAAGAAGGCCUUCGGGUUGUAAAGCACUUUCAGUUGUGAGGAAAAGUUAGUAGUUAAUACCUGCUAGCCGUGACGUUAACAACAGAAGAAGCACCGGCUAACUCCGUGCCAGCAGCCGCGGUAAUACGGAGGGUGCGAGCGUUAAUCGGAAUUACUGGGCGUAAAGCGCACGCAGGCGGUUUGUUAAGCUAGAUGUGAAAGCCUCGGGCUCAACCUGGGAUGGUCAUUUAGAACUGGCAGACUAGAGUCUUGGAGAGGGGAGUGGAAUUCCAGGUGUAGCGGUGAAAUGCGUAGAUAUCUGGAGGAACAUCAGUGGCGAAGGCGACUCCCUGGCCAAAGGCUGACGCUCAUGUGCGAAAGUGUGGGUAGCGAACAGGAUUAGAUACCCUGGUAGUCCACACCGUAAACGCUGUCUACUAGCUGUGUGUGCCUUUAAGGCGUGCGUAGCGAAGCUAACGCGCUAAGUAGACCGCCUGGGGAGUACGGCCGCAAGGUUAAAACUCAAAUGAAUUGACGGGGGCCCGCACAAGCGGUGGAA